rnacentral:rRNA from 1 species
UACGUCGGGGGCAAGCGUUACUCGGAAUCACUGGGCGUAAAGAGCUCGUAGGUGGGUAGAUAAGUCAUACAGUAUAGCCAACAGCGCAACUGUUGUUCUCUGUAUGAUACUGUUUGCCUUGAGGACAGGAGAGGGGAGUGGAAUUCCUGGUGUAGCGGUGAAAUGCGUAGAGAUCAGGAAGAACACCGGUGGCGAAGGCGUCUCCCUGGUCUGUUCCUGACACUGAGGAGCGAAAGAUGGGGGAGCGAACGGG